rnacentral:rRNA from 1 species
ACUCAAAUGAAUUGACGGGGGCCCGCACAAGCAGCGGAGCGUGUGGUUUAAUUCGAGGCUACACGAAGAACCUUACCUGGGUUGGACAUGGCGGUGGUAGGUCUCGGAAAGGAGACUGACCUUCGGGAGCCGUCACAGGUGCUGCAUGGCUGUCGUCAGCUCGUGUCGUGAGAUGUUCGGUUAAGUCCGGUAACGAGCGCAACCCUCGGGGAUAGUUACAAGUGUCUAUUCCGACAGCCCGGUGGAACUGGGAGGAAGGUGGGGAUGACGUCAAGUCAGCAUGGCCUUGAUGCCCAGGGCUACACACACGCUACAAUGGUCGGUACAAUGGGGUGCCAAAGGGCGACCUGGAGCCAAUCCUAAAAAACCGACCUCAGUUCGGAUUGCAGGCUGCAACUCGCCUGCAUGAAGGCGGAGUUGCUAGUAAACGUCGGUCAGCCAUACGACGUUGAAUACGUUCCCGGGCCUUGUACACACCGCCCGU